rnacentral:rRNA from 1 species
AACGAACGCUGGCGGCGUGCCUAACACAUGCAAGUCGAACGUGAUUGGAAGCUUGCUUCCAUGAAAGUGGCGCACGGGUGAGUAACGCGUAGAUAAUCUACCUGAUGAUCUGGGAUAACACUUCGAAAGGGGUGCUAAUACCGGAUAAGCCCACGAGCUCUUUGGAGCAUGCGGGAAAAGGGGGGGACCUUCGGGCCUUCCGUCAUCAGAUGAGUCUGCGUACCAUUAGCUAGUUGGUAGGGUAAAGGCCUACCAAGGCGACGAUGGUUAGCUGGUCUGAGAGGAUGAUCAGCCACACUGGAACUGAGACACGGUCCAGACUCCUACGGGAGGCAGCAGUGGGGAAUUUUGCGCAAUGGGGGCAACCCUGACGCAGCAACGCCGCGUGAGUGAUGAAGGCUCUUGGGUCGUAAAGCUCUGACAGAGGGAAAGAAAUGUGGGUGGCUAAUAUCCAUUCCACUUGACGGUACCCUCAAAGGAAGCACCGGCUAACUCCGUGCCAGCAGCCGCAGUAACAC